UGCGUAGGCGGGUCUUUAAGUCAGGGGUGAAAUCCUGGAGCUCAACUCCAGAACUGCUUUUGAUACUGAGGAUCUUGAGUUCGGGAGAGGUGAGUGGAACUGCGAGUGUAGAGGUGAAAUUCGUAGAUAUUCGCAAGAACACCAGUGGCGAAGGCGGCUCACUGGCCCGAUACUGACGCUGAGGCACGAAAGCGUGGGAGCAAACA
rnacentral:rRNA from 1 species